UACAAAACGAACUGGGAAAGAGAGACAGGAAACACAGGGAUGAAUACACUGGGGAAAUCAAGCGACACCUGAAGGGAGUGGAGACAAUAACAGGUGAAACAGAUCAGGAUGUGACAGAGGAAAAAAAUGCAUUUGCAAUUUGGCCCCAGAGUCAGUGAAACGAUUGCUUCAUACCCAUGUAAAUAGAGAUACAGGAUUACAUAAUUGGGAGAAAGAAAUCCAACAUAGGUUUUCUCUUGAUUAAUGCUAUGUUUACUUGCUUUGGGAGUUAGGAGGUGAAAUCACAUUUUUUUGGCAGAAGGAAGUCGUGCAUGAUUGUGGUGAUUGUUCGAUGUGUUUUCUCAAAAAGCCACGGGAUGGAACUGCCUUUUGAACAAUGAAAACAGUUAAGCUGUUUCCAAAACAAAAACUCAGAGAGAGGUAGAGAGAGAGAGAUGGAGAGGUAGAGAGAGAGAGAUGGAGAGGUAGAGAGAGAGAGAUGGAGAGGUAGAGAGAGAGAGAUGGAGAGGUAGAGAGCGAGAGAUGGAGAGGUAGAGAGCGAGAGAUGGAGAGGGAGAGAGAGAGAUAGAGGUAGAGAGAGAGAGAGGGAGAGGUAGAGAGAGAGAUGGAGAGGUAGAGAGAGAGAGAUGGAGAGGUAGAGAGAGAGAGAGAUGGAGAGGUAGAGAGAGAGAGAUGGAGAGGUAGAGAGAGAGAUGGAGAGGUAGAGAGAGAUGGAGAGGUAGAGAGAGAGAGAUGGAGAGGUAGAGAGAGAGAUGGAGAGGUAGAGAGAGAGAGAUGGAGAGGUAGAGAGAGAGAGAUGGAGAGGUAGAGAGAUGGAGAGGUAGAGAGGUAGAGAGAUGGAGAGGUAGAGAGAGAGAGAUGGAGAGGUAGAGAUGGAGAGAUGGAGAGGUAGAGAGAGAGAGAUGGAGAGGUAGAGAGAGAGAGAUGGAGAGGUAGAGAGAGAUGGAGAGGUAGAGAGAGGUAGAGAGAGAGAGAUGGAGAGGUAGAGAGAGAGAGAUGGAGAGGUAGAGAGAGAGAGAUGGAGAGGUAGAGAGAGAGAGAUGGAGAGGUAGAGAGAGGUAGAGAGAUGGAGAGGUAGAGAGGUAGAGAGAUGGAGAGGUAGAGAGAGAGAGAUGGAGAGGUAGAGAUGGAGAGAUGGAGAGGUAGAGAGAGAGAUGGAGAGGUAGAGAGAGAGAGAUGGAGAGGUAGAGAGAGAGAGAUGGAGAGGUAGAGAGAGAGAGAUGGAGAGGUAGAGAGAGGUAGAGAGAUGGAGAGGUAGAGAGAUGGAGAGAUGGAGAGGUAGAGAGAGGUAGAGAGAUGGAGAGGUAGAGAGAGGUAGAGAGAUGGAGAGGUAGAGAGAGAGAGAUGGAGAGGUAGAGAGAGAGACAUGGAGAGGUAGAGAGAGAGAUGGAGAGGUAGAGAGAGAGAGAUGGAGAGGUAGAGAGAGAGAGAUGGAGAGGUAGAGAGAGAGAGAUGGAGAGGUAGAGAGAGAGAUGGAGAGGUAGAGAGAGAGAGACGGAGAGGUAGAGAGGUAGAGAGUUUCCAGCUUGUUCAUAUAUACAAUGUGUAGCCAAACUGCAAGUCACUUGUCUGAACCCCCUUACUACAAGUGCUUGCAGAAUUUAGCUUGAAGGAAAGCCAUAAACC
ensembl:lncRNA